GAUGAAGAACGUAGCGAAAUGCGAUAAGUAAUGUGAAUUGCAGAAUUCAGUGUAUCAUCGAAUCUUUGAACGCACCUUGCGCUCCUUGGUAUUCCGAGGAGCAUGCCUGUUUGAGUGUCAUGAAAUUCUCAACCUUUUCAGCUUUCUUUGUUGAUCAGGCUUGGAUGUGGGAGUAUGCGGGCUUCUCAGAAGUCGGCUCUCCUGAAAUGCAUUAGCGGGACCUUUGUUGCCUGGCUUUGGUGUGAUAAUUAUCUACGCCAUUGUAGUCAAGCAGCUUAAAAUGAGGUUUCAGCUUCUAACCGUCUCCCCUGAGACAACUUUUUGACAAUUUGACCUCAAAUCAGGUAGGACUACCCGCUGAACUUAAGCAUAUCAAUAAGCGGAGGA
rnacentral:misc_RNA from 1 species